GAUGAGGGUAGCGUCGAUAUAGAAGGGCACGCAGUAUCCUACCUAGAGAUCAUUCCAGAGAAAACAGGACAUAGGAAAGCUCCCAAGCGUGGCCCUGGACGGACAGGGGCAUUAAAGGAAGGUGUUGACCCUUGAGAUGACCUGGCAAAAGCAGAGCCAGGACCCAGCUCAUGCCUGGAAGGUGUGGGAGCGAAGGAACGUCAUAGAAGGAACGUUGAUUCAGGAGGAGGUUGGGCUUUGUCCUGCUUUGCCACUUCUCUGGCCCGUGGCCCAGGGUAGCAGUUGCCACAAAGACGUCGGGGUGGGCUGCUUGCCCCGGAACCACAGGCCCUGAAGGCUUCCUGCUGAAGCGGCCUGUGGUGGCCGCAGGGUGGCCCUGACGUGGCCGGGGGAUGUGCCUUCUUCAGCCUUCUUCCAGCGUGGCUCCAAGCCACUGGCCACUACAAGGCGUGACAGUCACCUCUGCAGUCCCCAGGGUGGCGAGCAGGUUGGGGGGGGUGGUCUCUGUGUGGCCAAGGACGACAUCCCCGUGUUGUUCUGCUCUCCACGGUCGGAGCAAACGGUUCCUCCCGCCGGUCCUCCCGGGAGGCUGCAGGUCUCCACCGACGUCCGUCUUCAGGGACCGGAGCUUUCCACGGCUCCACCGGGACCUUCAGCCGCUGUGUUGCCCCUGCCUCGUCCUCUGCGUCCGGCUCGAGCUUGGACAUUCUCCGACUGCAGCAGCUCGGGCCUGAGCUCCCGAGCCGGUUGUCGGCUUCCACCAAUGGUGACCAUUUUCUUCCUGAUUUUGAGAAGAGGAAAAAAAAAUUUCUCCGUGCAGGCCGAGGACUCGGUUCAACUUGCAAGUCUCAGAGCAUCGUGGCGUGUCCUCUGCUGCUUCGGGAUCAGCCCGUUCAUCGCCGCCUAGGAGCCAUUGAGCUGCUCUGCAAGCACAGAGGGCCUCAAGCAGCCACCUGGCCAAGGGCUGUUGAGCAGACCGGGGUGCACACCUCCUUGUUGGGGGCACGGGGGACGGCGGCCCGUCCCCAGCCUCCGGGUGGACCCAAGGAGAGCUUGUUGCAGAAAAAGAUUUCUUUUAUGUAUUCCUGAGAGACCCAGAGAGAGAGGCAGAGACACAGGCAG